rnacentral:rRNA from 1 species
GAGUUUGAUCCUGGCUCAGAUUGAACGCUGGCGGCAGGCUUAACACAUGCAAGUCGAACGGUAACAUGAGUGCUUGCACUUGAUGACGAGUGGCGGACGGGUGAGUAAAGUAUGGGGAUCUGCCGAAUGGAGGGGGACAACAGUUGGAAACGACUGCUAAUACCGCAUAAAGUUGAGAGACCAAAGCAUGGGACUUACGGGCCAUGCGCCAUUCGAUGAGCCCAUAUGGGAUUAGCUAGUUGGUAGGGUAAUGGCUUACCAAGGCGACGAUCUCUAGCUGGUCUGAGAGGAUGACCAGCCACACUGGAACUGAGACACGGUCCAGACUCCUACGGGAGGCAGCAGUGGGGAAUAUUGCACAAUGGGGGGAACCCUGAUGCAGCCAUGCCGCGUGUAUGAAGAAGGCCUUCGGGUUGUAAAGUACUUUCGGUGAUGAGGAAGGUGGUGUAUCUAAUAGGUGCAUCAAUUGACGUUAAUUACAGAAGAAGCACCGGCUAACUCCGUGCCAGCAGCCGCGGUAAUACGGAGGGUGCGAGCGUUAAUCGGAAUGACUGGGCGUAAAGGGCAUGUAGGCGGAUAAUUAAGUUAGGUGUGAAAGCCCUGGGCUCAACCUAGGAAUUGCACUUAAAACUGGUUAACUAGAGUAUUGUAGAGGAAGGUAGAAUUCCACGUGUAGCGGUGAAAUGCGUAGAGAUGUGGAGGAAUACCGGUGGCGAAGGCGGCCUUCUGGACAGAUACUGACGCUGAGAUGCGAAAGCGUGGGGAGCAAACAGGAUUAGAUACCCUGGUAGUCCACGCUGUAAACGAUGUCGAUUUGGAGUUUGUUGCGUAGAGUGAUGGGCUCCGAAGCUAACGCGAUAAAUCGACCGCCUGGGGAGUACGGCCGCAAGGUUAAAACUCAAAUGAAUUGACGGGGGCCCGCACAAGCGGUGGAGCAUGUGGUUUAAUUCGAUGCAACGCGAAGAACCUUACCUGGUCUUGACAUCCACAGAAUCUUGCAGAGAUGCGAGAGUGCCUUCGGGAACUGUGAGACAGGUGCUGCAUGGCUGUCGUCAGCUCGUGUUGUGAAAUGUUGGGUUAAGUCCCGCAACGAGCGCAACCCUUAUCCUUUGUUGCCAUUGGUUAGGCCGGGAACUCAAAGGAGACUGCCGUUGAUAAAGCGGAGGAAGGUGGGGACGACGUCAAGUCAUCAUGGCCCUUACGACCAGGGCUACACACGUGCUACAAUGGCGUAUACAAAGGGAGGCGA